AAUGGGCGCGAGCCUGAUCCAGCCACGCCGCGUGAGUGAUGAAGGCCUUCGGGUCGUAAAGCUCUGUGGGGAGGGACGAACCGCUGUCGGUUAAUACCCGGCAGCAUGACGGUACCUCCUUAGCAAGCACCGGCUAACUUCGUGCCAGCAGCCGCGGUAAUACGAAGGGUGCAAACGUUGCUCGGAAUUAUUGGGCGUAAAGCGCACGUAGGCGGCUUAGCAAGUUGGAUGUGAAAGCCCUCGGCUUAACCAAGGAAGUGCAUCCAAAACUGCUGAGCUUGAGUAGUUAAGAGGAUCGCGGAAUUCCCGGUGUAGAGGUGAAAUUCGUAGAUAUCGGGAGGAACACCAGUGGCGAAGGCGGCGAUCUGGGAACAUACUGACGCUGAGGUGCGAAAGCGUGGGGAGCAAA
rnacentral:rRNA from 1 species